GACGAACGCUGGCGGCGUGCUUAACACAUGCAAGUCGAACGGAAAGGCCCUGCUUUUGUGGGGUGCUCGAGUGGCGAACGGGUGAGUAACACGUGAGUAACCCGCCCUUGACUUUGGGAUAACUUCAGGAAACUGCGGCUCAUACCGGAUAGGAGCUCCUGCUGCAUGGUGGGGGUUGGUAAGUUUCGGCGGUUGGGGAUGGACUCGCGGCUUAUCCGCUUGUUGGUGGGGUAGUGGCUUACCAGGGCUUUGAAGGGUAGCCGGCCUGGGAGGGGGACCGGCGACAUUAGGACUGAGAGAGGGCGCAGACGCCUACGGGAGGCAGCGGGGGGGAGUAUUGCACAGUGGGCGGAAGUCUGAGGCAGCGACGCCGCGUGCGGAAUGCCGGCCUUCGGGUGGUAAACCGCUUUCGCCUGUGACGAAGCGUGAGUGACGGUAAUGGGUAAAGAAGCACCGGCUAACUACGUG
rnacentral:rRNA from 1 species